GCACGGACAAUAACAAUUACCAUAAAAUCAAGUUGACAAUCGAAAUAACAAUAACCAGAAACAGUGAGACAGGCAUAUCAUUGUGCAGUGAUCAUGCUUCAAGUCACAUCAUUGAUGCUGUUAUUUUCACGCAAAAAAGAUAACCAGCAAAAUAAUAACCCGAUAUAGCAUAAAUUUAUAAAACAAAGCAUAGUAAGGAUCAAGCCAUACAUAGAAUAUAAUUUGCCACAAGAGGUAAAUGACUGAGGCAAUAAGAGUAUAACUCACACAUCUCAAUCUGAAAUCAUAGAAAGGGAUUCCCAUUGAACCCAAAUGUUGUGAAAAAUAUGCACCUUAUGCGGGACAUAUGUGAGUUCUUAAAAUAUCUAAGAAAUGGCCUAGGGAAGGAAUAGAGGUAGAGUUUCAAUUUCUGACUAUGGCUUUUUUAGUUGUCAGAAAAAAAUGGCACACAAGAUAUUUUAAUGAUCUCGGGAAAAGUGAGGGAAUGAUAUCAAGUAAUGCUAUGCCUGGAUUGGGGUAAACAGAUGAACCAGACAGCUUAGAUGCCAAAUGGAAGAUGUCACCCAAAAGGAUCUUUAAUAGGUGGCAAUCCUACCAUAUAUGAAGGUUGGCCUCCCUAUUGUCCUAUGGCUUCUCCAACACCAAUCCGCACAAUAUACCAUCUCAUCACAAUUUUAUAUAGUAAUUCAAAAUUGGACGAGCAAUACUUUAGACCUUGCAUAAUAGCUACUGAGAACCCUCACUCCUCCUGUUAUUUCCUGUUGUAGGUCAGCGGCCCAAUGUGCUUAAUAUUAGCACGAUUCUGGGAAUUUAAUUUAAGCUAAGAAGAUUUGAUAGCAGAUUUCUGUUUGGCCUACAGUAUGUUUAAUAGGAAAGGAUUUUAGAGAGGCAGACAAGGAGUUGGGGGAGUCACCAUGUUCCAGGUGUAAUUUUUUAAAAUAUAUAAUUUGCAGAUAUUUAAACAAUUCUCUAUGGGAUAAACUGCUAUUAGAACAAAUAUCGGAGGAGGGGAGCAGGAUCCUCUUUGACCUAAUAUCACUGACCUGCUAUAAAUGUAUCUAUCCCUGACUGAAUAAUUUGGAGACAGGAGUCAGGGAUUCAGACAAGUAUAGUGCAUAAAAUUAAUUUUAACUGAGGCAAGUCUACCCAGCCAAGAUAAUUCAGUCUUACUCCAACAGAACAUAUCUACCCGUAUCUGAUUCCAUUUGCCUCAAUGUUAAUAGGAACUAUAGUAGAGGUUUUUUUCCCACAAGCUAAAUGGUUAAAAAUACUACGGUAUAUAGUUAUUUUUACAAGGGAAAUUAUUGUGUUAAGAUUUUAAUAGUUAAAGGGAGGAUUUGUGACUUGUGAAUGUUAACUGUGGUAAGAAUACAUUGUAAAUUAGAUAGAGAGAUAAAGGGAUCAGAAAGAGUUAACAUGUUAUCUAUAAACAUGCAUUGUUUAUAGGUAUUAGAGAGGACAGGAUCAUGACUAUUAUCCAUACGUUGUAUCUUUGGUAAUAUAAAUUGCUUAACUUUGGCAUCUUCAGUAGAUCAGCAAAAUUUUAGUAUAGGAGUAAAAUUGUUGGCAAUUUCCUUACACAAUUGUAGACUAGUCCCUAGCAUGCAUUGUGUCUGUUUAGAUUGAUUGUUCUAACUUCUCCCAAUAUAGUAAUAGCCCUAGUGUGGUUUCACAGCUAAUACUUUCUCCAAUCAGUUGUACUGCCAUAGGCAUAUCAGUUAUAUUCUGUAUAUUCUGUUGUACUGCCAUAGGCAACAGCCUGAUUUAAAAUCUAUCCAGACCCGGACUUGCAAGCAACACAGAGCUCUUAUAUUUAGUGAUUAUUAUUUUCUUUUCUUAUUUAAAUGUAUAUAUUUCCAUUACUUUGUAAGCCUAUGCUAAUCAUACUUUGCAUAUCCCUGACACAUUGCACAUUUUAUCACCUUUAUGGCUUGUCCUUUAUGUUAAACGUUAGUUUAACCAGCUCAGGCCCACAUAUCUUUCUUGUUAUUUGUUUAAUGGUUUUAUUUCCCUACAUGGAUACCUUUGUCUUAUCUCUGUGAUUUGUGAUCUUUCCCUUUGUUUUUGCUUGACUGACCUUUACCACGAAUGUCCACAGAUGCAUCUUCCCCAUUCCUUAGUUU